UUAUGAUGCAAGUCUCAAGCUGAGGCUAUUAUAUAAACAGUUUUAUGGUAAUAUGGCUAUAUUGUCUCUUCUGAGUAUCACAAAAUUGUACCAAGCGGAUCAGUUCGUAGCUGGAUUCUUCACCAAUCUUCCAUACCUUCUCCCGAACACACAUGUCGCUCGGUUCUCCAAUUCUAUGAGUUGGAAGAAUUUCCUUUGUCUCUCUAUGGGCCAUGUGGUAGGAGAUUCUCCUCUUAGGGUUUUUACAACCCUUUCACACAGGGCCUGGGUUGGGGGGAAGGUAGGUUGGGUGGUGGUGCAAAAGGGAGGGGGUCAACAGUCCUCCCUGUACCAAAAGAGGCCAACGUCAUGACAAUGGGGAGGGGGAGAAGAGGAGAGGGGGAGAAGAGGAGAGGAGGAGAUGAGAGGGGGAGAAGAGAGGGGGAGAGGAGAGGGGGGAGGAGGGAGGGGGAGAAGAGGAGAGGGUUGGAGAAGAUGAGAGGAGAGGGGAGAGGUGUAGAAGAGGAGAGGGGGAGAAGAGAAGGAGAGGGGGAGAAGAGGAGAAGAAAGGGGAGGAGAGGAGAAGAAAGGGGGAGGAGAGAGAGAAUAGAGUGUCGAAAGAGGAGAAGGGGAGAAGAGGAGAGGAGGGAGAAGAGAGGUGGAGAACAGGAGAGGGUGAGAAGUUUAAAGGGAGAGAAGUGGAGAGGGGCAGAAGAGGAGAGGGGCAGAAGAGUAGAGGGGCAGAAGAGUAAAGGGGGAGAAGAGGAGAGGGGGAGAAGAGGAGAGGGGAGGAAAGGGGAGGGGGAGAAGAGUAGAGGGGGAGAAGAGUAGAGGGGGAAAAGAGGAGAGGGGCAGAAUGUGAAAGAGGAGAGGAGAGGAGAGGGAGAAGAGAAGAGGAGAAGAGAGGGGGAGAAGAGAGGGGGAGAAGAGAUAGGAAGAAGAGGAGAGGGGAAGGGAGAGGAGAGGAGAAGAGAAGUGAGGAGAGGAGAGGAUAGGAGGGGGUAAAAGGGGGGAGAAGAGAAGAGUAGAGGGGGAGAAAAGCAGAGGGGGAGAAGAGGAGAGGAGGGGAGAAGAGGAGAUGGGGAGGAAAGGAGAGGGUGAGAAGAGUAGAGGGGGAGAAGAGGAGAGGGGCAGAAUGUGGGAGAGGAGAGGAGAGGAGAGGGAGAAGAGAAGAGGAGAAGAGAAGAGGAGAAGAGAGGGGGAGAAGAGAGGGGGAGAAGAGAGAGGAAGAAGAGGAGAGGGGAAGGGAGAGGAGAGGAGAAGAGAAGUGAGGAGAGGAGAGGAGAGGAGGGGGGAAAAGGGGGGAGAAGAGAAGAGUAGAGGGGGAGAAAAGCAGAGGGGGAGAAGAGGAGAGGAGAGAAGUGGAGAGGGGAGAAAAGGAGAGGGGGAGGAAAGGAGAGGGAGAGAAGAGUAGAGGGGGAGAAGAGGAGAGGGGCAGAAUGUGGGAGAGGAGAGGAGAGGAGAGGGAGAAGAGAAGAGGAGAAGAGAGAGGAAGAAAGGGAGAGGGGAAGGGAGAGGAGAGGAGAAGGGAAGUGAGGAGAGGAGAGGAGAGGAGAGGAGGGGGGGAAAGGGGGGAGAAGAGAAGAGUAGAGGUGGAGAAAAGUAAAAUGGAGGGGCAGAAGAUGAGAGGAGAGGGGGAGAAGAGAAGAGGGGAGAAGAGCAGAGGGGGAGAAGAGGAGAGGGGAGAAGUGUAGAGGGGGAUGGAGAGGAGAGGAGAGGAGAGGGGGAGAAGACGAGAGGGGGAGAUGAGGAGAGGAGAGAGGGAGAAGACGAGAGGGGGACAAGAGAAAAAGAGAGGGGAAGAAGACGAGAAGAGAGAGGUAGAAGGUGGGAGAAGGGGAGAAGAGAGGGGGAGAAGAGAGGAAGAAGAAGAGACUGGGAGAAGACGAGAGGGGCAGAAGAGGAGAAGAGAGGGGGAGAAGACGAGACGGGGAGAAGAGGAGAAGUAAGGGGGGAGAAGGUGGGAGAAUAGGAGUGGGGGAGAAGAUGAGAAGAGAGGGGAGAAGAGAGACUGGGAGGGAAGAGGAGAUGGGGAGAAGGGAAGAGGAGAGGGGCAGAAGAGGAUAAGCGAGGGGGAGAAGACGAGAGGAGGACUAGAGAAGAGGAGAGGAAGGAGGAGGAGAAGAGAGGGGGAGAAGAGGAGAGGAAGGGGGAGCAGAGUCGAGGGGAGAAGAGGAGAAGAGAGUGAGAGAAGAAGGGGGAGAUGAGAGGGGGGAGAAGAGGACAUGGGGAGAAGAGCAGAGGGGGAGAAGAGGAGAGGUGGGAGGGGAGGGGAAGAAGAAGAUGAGAGGGGGAGAUGAGGAAAGGGAGAGAAGAGAGGGAGAGAAGGGGGAGAGAAGAGGAGAGGGGAGUGGGAGAGGAGAGUCGGAAGGACAGGAGAGGGGAGGGGAGAGGGGAGAGUGGCAGAAGGGGAGAAGAGGAGAGGAGAGGGGAGGGGAGGACAGGAGAGGGGAGAAGUGUAGAGGGGGAGGAAAGGAGAGGGGGAGAAGAGGAGAGGGGGAGAAGGUGGGAUGAGAGGAGAGGAGAGGAGGGGCGAGAGGGGGAGAGAAGAGGAGAGGGGAGUGGGAGAGGAGAGGAGAGUCGGAAGGACAGGAGAGGGGAGGGGGAGGACAGGAGAGGGGAGAAGUGUAGAGGGGGAGGAAAGGAGAGGGGGAGAAGAGGAGAGGGGGAGAAGAUGGGUGGAGGGAGGAGAAGAGAGGGGAAGAAGAGAGACUGGGAGAAGAGGAGAGGCAGGGGGAGGAGAAGAGGAGAGCGGCAGAAGAGGAUAAGAGAGGGGAGAAGAGGAGAAGAGAGGGGGAGAAGACGAGAGAGGGGGAGAAGACGAGAGGGUGAGAAGAGGAGAGGAAGGGGAGGAGAAGAGAAGAGAGUGAGAGAAGAGGGGGGAGAUGAGAGGGGAGAAGAGCAGAGUGGGAGAAGAGCAGAGUGGGAGAAGAGGAGAGGGGGAGAAGAGAGGGGAGAAGAGGGGGGAGAAGAGCAGAGGUGGGAGGGGAGGGGAAGAAGAUGAGAGGGGGAGAUGAGGAAAGAGAGAGAAGAGACGAGGGGGAGAAAAGGAGAAGAGAGGGGGAGAAGAGAGACUGGGAGAAGAAGAGAGGGAGAGAAGGGGGAAAGAAGAGGAGAGAGAGAGAGGAGAGGAGAGGAGAGGAGAGUCGGAAGGACAGGAGAGGGGAGGGGCGAGGGGCAGAAGGGGAGAAGAGGAGAGGAGAGGGUGAGAAGAGAAGGAGAAGGGGAGAGAAGAGGAGAGGGAGGGGAAGAAGCGGGGUGGGAGAAGAGAGGGGGAGAAGGGGAGAGGGGGGGAAGAGAAGAGGAGAGGGGGAGAAGGGGAGAAGAGAGGGGAGAAGAGGAGAAGAGAGGGGGGAAGAGAAGAGGAGAAGGGGAGAAGGGGAGAAGAGAGGGGGAGAAGAGGAGAAGAGAGGGGGAAGAGAAGAGGAGAAGGGGAGAGGAGAGGGUGAGAAAAGGAGAAGAGAGGGGGAGAAGGGGGUAGAAAAGGAGAGGGUGGAGAAGAGGAGAGGGGCAGAAGACGACAGGGGGAGAAGAGGAGAGGGUGAGAAGAGAAGGAGAGGGGGAGAAGAGGAGAAGAGAGGGGGAGAAGAGGAGAAGAGAGGGGGAAGAGAGGGGGAGAAGAGGAGAAGAGAGGGGGAAGAGAAGAGGAGAAGGGGAGAGG
rnacentral:lncRNA from 1 species